UACAGAGGUGGCAAGCGUUGUUCGGAAUUACUGGGCGUAAAGGGCGCGUAGGCGGGGCGGUAAGUCGGGUGUGAAAUCCCUCGGCCCAACCGAGGAACUGCGCCCGAGACUGCUUCUCUUGAGUCCCGGAGAGGAAGAUGGAAUUCCCGGUGUAGCGGUGAAAUGUGUAGAGAUCGGGAGGAACACCGGUGGCGAAGGCGGUCUUCUGGACGGUGACUGACGCUGAGGCGCGAAAGCGUGGGGAGCAAACAGG
rnacentral:rRNA from 1 species